GUGAGGAAUAUUGGUCAAUGGGCGAGAGCCUGAACCAGCCAAGUCGCGUGAAGGAAGAAGGAUCUAUGGUUCGUAAACUUCUUUUGCAGGGGAAUAAAGUGCAGGACGUGUCCUGUUUUGUAUGUACCCUGAGAAUAAGGAUCGGCUAACUCCGUGCCAGCAGCCGCGGUAAUACGGAGGAUCCGAGCGUUAUCCGGAUUUAUUGGGUUUAAAGGGUGCGUAGGUGGUUUGAUAAGUCAGCGGUGAAAGUUUGCAGCUGAACGGUAAAAAUGCGGUUGAAACUGUCGGACUUGAGUGUAAAUGAGGUAGGCGGAAUGCGUGGUGUAGCGGUGAAAUGCAUAGAUAUCACGCAGAACUCCGAUUGCGAAGGCAGCUUACUAAGCUACAACUGACACUGAAGCACGAAAGCGUGGGGAUCAAACAGGAUUAGAUACCCGUGUAGUCC
rnacentral:rRNA from 1 species